GACGAACGCUGGCGGCGUGCUUAACACAUGCAAGUCGAGCGGUAAGGCCCUUUCGGGGGUACACGAGCGGCGAACGGGUGAGUAACACGUGGGUGACCCGCCUUUAGCUCUGGGAUAAGCCUGGGAAACUGGGUCUAAUACCGGAUACGACUCCGCGGUGCAUGCUGUGGGGUGGAAAGCCUUGUGCGGCUGGAGAUGGGCCCGCGGCCUAUCAGCUUGUUGGUGGGGUGAUGGCCUACCAAGGCGACGACGGGUAGCCGGCCUGAGAGGGCGACCGGCCACACUGGGACUGAGACACGGCCCAGACUCCUACGGGAGGCAGCAGUGGGGAAUCUUGCGCAAUGGGCGAAAGCCUGACGCAGCGACGCCGCGUGAGGGAUGACGGCC
rnacentral:rRNA from 1 species